AGGGAAGAGCCCAAGAUUGAAAGCUGGCGCCUUCGGCGUCCGCAUUGUAAUCUCAAGAAGUGUUUUCCGCUUCGGACCAUGCCUAAGUCCCUUGGAAAAGGGCAUCAUAGAGGGUGAUAAUCCCGUACAUGGCAUGGAGCGCCCGAAGCUUUGUGAUACGCUUUCUAAGAGUCGAGUUGUUUGGGAAUGCAGCUCAAAAUGGGUGGUAAAUGCCAUCUAAGGCUAAAUAUUGGGGAGAGACCGAUAGCGAACAAGUACAGUGAUGGAAAGAUGAAAAGAACUUUGAAAAGAGAGUUAAACAGUACGUGAAAUUGCCAAAAGGGAAGGGUAGGAGGUCAGAGAUGCGUUCUAGGAUUCAGCCUUGCUUUUGCAUGGUGUUUUUUCUAGUUUGCAGGCCAACGUCGGUUUUGGGCACUGGAGAAGGGUGGAAGGAAUGUGGCACCUCUCGGGGUGUGUUAUAGCCUUCUACUGGAUACAGCGACCGAGACCGAGGACAGCAGCGUACUCGCAAGAGCGGGCCUUCGGGCACCUUUACGCUUAGGGCGUUGGCAUAAUGGCCCUCUACCACCCGUCU
rnacentral:rRNA from 1 species